CUGGGGACAUAGCUCAGGGGGUAGAGUGUUUGCCUUGCAUGCACAAUGCCCUGUGUUCAAUCCCCAGUGAGA
rnacentral:tRNA from 1 species